CCUACGGGCGGCAGCAGUGAGGAAUAUUGGUCAAUGGGCGGGAGCCUGAACCAGCCAAGUCGCGUGAGGGAAGACGGUCCUAUGGAUCGUAAACCUCUUUAGGCGGGGAGCAAUGCCGGGCACGCGUGCCCGGAGGGAGAGUACCCGCAGAAUAAGCAUCGGCUAACUCCGUGCCAGCAGCCGCGUUAAUACGGAGGAUGCGAGCGUUAGCCGGAUUUAUUGGGUUUAAAGGGUGCGUAGGCGGAUUUUUAAGUCAGCGGUAAAAUCUCCGGGCUCAACCCGGGCCGGCCGUUGAAACUGGGGAUCUGGAGUGGGAGAGAAGUAUGCGGAAUGCGUGGUGUAGCGGUGAAAUGCAUAGAUAUCGCGCAGAACUCCGAUUGCGAAGGCAGCAUGCCGGCGCCCGACUGACGCUGAGGCACGAAAGCGUGGGGAUCGAACAGGAUUAGAUACCCCAGUAGUC
rnacentral:rRNA from 1 species